rnacentral:rRNA from 1 species
UACGGAGGGCGCGAGCGUUAAUCGGAAUUACUGGGCGUAAAGCGUGCGCAGGCGGUUCGUUGUGUCGGUGGUGAAAUCCCCGGGCUUAACCUGGGAAUGGCCAUGGAAACUGGCGAACUGGAGUGCGGCAGAGGGGGGUGGAAUUCCGCGUGUAGCAGUGAAAUGCGUAGAUAUCGGGAGGAACACCAGUGGCGAAGGCGGCGAUCUGGGAAGAUACUGACGCUGAGGUGCGAAAGCGUGGGGAGCAAACAGG